GCUUGUAACGAGUCGGCUCGGCUGAAAUACACGAGCAACCCAAUAGUCUGGACUUAGACGGCUUGACUCGGCGUGAUAAUUAUCACUCGCUGAGGACGUCUUCAUAUCCACAAUAGUUCGGUGCUUCUAGCUCGUUUGUGAAAUACCAAACAUCUUUAGCUUUAGACCUCAAAUCAGGCAGGACUACCCGCUGAACUUAA
rnacentral:misc_RNA from 1 species